GAUGAAGAACGUAGCGAAAUGCGCUACGUAAUGUGAAUUGCAGAAUUCAGUGAAUCAUCGAGUCUUUGAACGCACAUUGCGCCCCCUGGUAUUCCGGGGGGCAUGCCUGUCCGAGCGUCAUUGCUGCCCUCAAGCACGGCUUGUGUGUUGGGCCUCCGCCCCCCGGCUCCCGGGGGGCGGGCCCGAAAGGCAGCGGCGGCACCGCGUCCGGUCCUCGAGCGUAUGGGGCUUCGUCACCCGCUCCGUAGGCCCGGCCGGCGCCCGCCGGCGACCCCCCUCAAUCUUUCCAGGUUGACCUCGGAUCAGGUAGGGAUACCCGCUGAACUUAAGCAUAUCAAUAAGCGGAGGA
rnacentral:misc_RNA from 1 species